GCACCAUGCCGUCGGAGAAGACCUUCAAGCAGCGCCGCACCUUCGAACAAAGAGUAGAAGAUGUCCGACUUAUUCGAGAGCAGCAUCCAACCAAAAUCCCGGUAGGUAGUCUCAGGCCUCGGUUUCAGUCAUGAAUGUACGCAGAGGAGAGCACUACAUAAGUGCAUCCACUUGACAGGGGUUUUUACAGGAAUCACCAGACAGCCAAACCCUGGGUGUCAGUUUCACAACCUAGAGAGCGGUAUCCUUUUUUUUAAGAGACAGGGUCUCACUCUCUUUCCCAGGCUGGAGUGCAGUGGUGCGAUCAUAGCUCAGUGCAGUCUCAGCCACCUUGUGCUCAAGCAGUCCUCCCUCCUCAGCCUCCUGAGUAGCUCUGACUAGAGGCACACACCACCACACCUGGCUAAUUUUUAAAGUUUUUUGUAGAGACAGGGUCUUGCUAUGUUUAACAACCCAGGCUGAUCUCAAACUCCUGGGCUCAAAUGCUCCUCCACCUUGAUCUCUCAAAGUGUUGGGAUUAUAGGCAUGAGCCACUGGCUGGCCUCAGGAGCCAAGAUUUCUGUACUGCCUCUAAUUUCUGCUACCACUUAAACUCAGGCAGCUGGAGCCUACACACUGAUAUUUCCUUGUGGAUAUCACACUUCUGAACGUGCCCGCUAAAGCUCUCAAACUUACCAAGGAAGGUGAUGACAGCUUGACUCGGCCUUACACUGAUCCCUAUGUAGGUCUCACAC
rnacentral:sRNA from 1 species